rnacentral:rRNA from 1 species
UACGUAGGGGGCAAGCGUUGUCCGGAUUCAUUGGGCGUAAAGAGCGUGUAGGCGGCCAGGCAGGUCCGCUGUGAAAACUCGAGGCUCAACCUCGAGAUGUCGGUGGAAACCGUCUGGCUAGAGUCCGGAAGAGGCGAGUGGAAUUCCUGGUGUAGCGGUGAAAUGCGCAGAUAUCAGGAGGAACACCUGUGGUGUAGACAGCUUACUGGACCAUUUCUGACGCUGAGACACGAAAGCGUGGGUAGCAAACAGG